UCAAUUGAUCUUUAAAAGUUUUUCCUUUGGUCCUAAUAAUUGGGUUGUAAUGCAUGCAUACAAUUCAGAGUGAUGGUCUCAAUAUCUCCUCUUCCUGGAUUGAUUAAUGGAUUUGUUUAUAUCUCCUCUUAACAGGCAAGUUACUCAAUACUGAUAAUGCUACCAUUUUUAGUUAGUAACAAGUGAGCAAGCUCAUGAGGUUUUGUCUUUUUCUCGUUGAGUCACUUAAUGUCUUGCUCGUAUGUGGUUCUGAUCUCUUAGAAUCAUUUGGUAUUCCUGGAUUUUGGAUCCGCGAGCAUGUAAUGUCUCAUUCUUACCAGUUUUAUAGUUUACUUAGUUAGGAUAUAUAAAGAAUUAACUUAGUUCGUUUAUCAUUUCAAAACAUAUCUCAUGGCUGUACUUGGGUGCUACCAAGAAUGCUGCUUCUUAUGGCCGCAUAAUGGGGGAUCUUUCUGUAUAUGCAUUGGAUCUGGAUAAAGUGUUGUAUCAUUUCUGUGCCUGCAUGAAGUUUCUUUAAUUUUGCAGGUUACUGAGAGAGAUGUCGUUGAAAAUUCACCGAGUAGAUUGUAAAUAUGAUGUGGUUGCUGAUAAUACAACAGCAACGAAAGAGGAGGUGAGGCAAAAUGAGUAACUUGUUAGUGGCUCAUGUUUGUCGCUUAUUUUUCCUGAGCCUGUCAAGUUAAGUGACUGUAAAAUUUGAACAGGUGUCUGUACCGCGAGGUGAUAUGACAUCGAUUAGUUUAGAAAUCGAGGAUGUUACUCGUACAAUUCAGAUGAUG
rnacentral:lncRNA from 1 species